rnacentral:rRNA from 1 species
AGGAAUAUUGGUCAAUGGACGAGAGUCUGAACCAGCCAAGUAGCGUGAAGGAUGAAGGUCCUACGGAUUGUAAACUUCUUUUAUAAGGGAAUAAAACCUCCCACGUGUGGGAGCUUGUAUGUACCUUAUGAAUAAGCAUCGGCUAACUCCGUGCCAGCAGCCGCGGUAAUACGGAGGAUGCGAGCGUUAUCCGGAUUUAUUGGGUUUAAAGGGAGCGCAGACGGGUCGUUAAGUCAGCUGUGAAAGUUUGGGGCUCAACCUUAAAAUUGCAGUUGAUACUGGCGUCCUUGAGUGCGGUUGAGACUCUCGUCCAUUGACCAAUAUUCCU